rnacentral:rRNA from 1 species
AUUGAACGCUGGCGGCAUGCCUAACACAUGCAAGUCGAACGGUAACAGGCCCUUCGGGGUGCUGACGAGUGGCGGAUGGGUGAGUAAUACUUAGGAAUCUACCCUGUAGUGGGGGACGAACCCGGGGAAACGUCGGGCUAAUACCGCAUACGCUCUACGGAGGAAAGCGGGGGACCGGCAAGGCCUCGCGCUAUUGGAUGAGCCUAAGCCCGAUUAGCUAGUUGGUGGGGUAAGUAGCCUACCAAGGCAAUGAUCGGUAGCUGGUCUGAGAGGACGACCAGCCACACUGGGACUGAGACACGGCCCAGACUCCUACGGGAGGCAGCAGUGGGGAAUAUUGGACAAUGGGCGAAAGCCUGAUCCAGCGAUGCCGCGUGUGUGAAGAAGG